rnacentral:tRNA from 1 species
UCCUGGCUGGCUCAGUCGGUUGAGCGUCUGACCUUGGCUCAGGUCAUGAUUUCACGGUUCGUGGGUUAGAGUCCCACAUCAGGCU